UACGGGGGGAGCAAGCGUUGUUCGGAUUUACUGGGCGUAAAGGGCGCGCAGGCGGCCACCGCAAGUCAGUUGUGAAAUCUCUGGGCUUAACCCAGAAAGGUCAACUGAUACUGCGGGGCUAGAGUGCAGAAGGGGCAACUGGAAUUCUCGGUGUAGCGGUGAAAUGCGUAGAUAUCGAGAGGAACACCUGCGGCGAAGGCGGGUUGCUGGGCUGACACUGACGCUGAAGCGCGAAAGCUAGGGGAGCGAACGGG
rnacentral:rRNA from 1 species